rnacentral:tRNA from 1 species
GGUGCUGUAGCUCAGUUACAGAGCAUCUGCUCAGCAUGCAAAAGGUCCCAGGUUGAAUCCCUGGCACCUCCA